GUCUUGGGUUCGCCUGGGGCCAUGAGUGGCGCACGGGUGAGUAGCGCGUGGGAACCUGCCCUGUUGUGGGGGAUAACCGAGGGAAACCUCGGCUAAUACCGCAUAAGCCGGCGCUCUUGAGAGAGGGUGCCGGGAAAGAUUUAUCGCGACAGGAGGGGCCCGCGUCGGAUUAGCUUGUUGGUGGGGUAACGGCCUACCAAGGCAAUGAUCCGUAGCUGGUCUGAGAGGAUGAUCAGCCACACUGGGACUGAGACACGGCCCAGACUCCUACGGGAGGCAGCAGUGGGGAAUAUUGGACAAUGGGCGCAAGCCUGAUCCAGCAAUGCCGCGUGAGUGAGGAAGGCCUUAGGG
rnacentral:rRNA from 1 species